UAUCGCAAUUCCACCAAUGGAAGUAUUAAUAUUCAUACCUAUGUCAGGAUAACCACUCUCGCUAUUAACUGAAAAAGAAAGAGGAUUAGCACUGAGCACGUCGUUAGCCUUAAUGCUAAGUCUGAAUAUUUGCCUAUCGCUGUGUUAUAUUUCCAUUCCUGAACUGCCACUACCGUGUAGAAAUGAUAUGUAAUAGAUAAGAGGAUAAUAAUUUGCGUCGCGAUGUGGCUAAUUUCUAAUAUUGUAUCGGUAUGCAUGGUGUAG
rnacentral:misc_RNA from 1 species